GGUUCAGAUUGAAUGCUGACGGCGUGGAUGAGGCAUGCAAGUCGAACGAAAUUAUUACUUCGGUAAUAAUUUAGUGGCGGAAGGGUUAGUAAUACAUAAACAACCUACCUUUAACUUUGGGAUAACGAUUGGAAACGGUCGCUAAUACCAGAUGUGGUUUACAAAAGGCAUCUUAAGUAAAUUAAAGUUGGGGACAAUAGCCUAACGGUAAAAGAGGGGUUUAUGAGAUAUCAGCUUGUUGGUGAGGUAAAGGCUUACCAAGGCAAAGACGUCUAGGCGGGUUGAGAGAUUGACCGCCAACACUGGGACUGAGACACUGCCCAGACUCCUACGGGAGGCUGCAGUCGAGAAUCUUUCGCAAUGGGGGAAACCCUGACGAAGCGACGCCGUGUGAACGAAGAAGGCCUUCGGGUCGUAAAGUUCUUUCGCCUGGGAACAAGGGAUAUGUACUAAUAAUACAUAAACUUGAGGGUACUAGGUAAAGAAGCACCGGCUAACUCCGUGCCAGCAGCUGCGGUAAUACGGAGGGUGCAAGCAUUAAUCGGAAUUACUGGGCGUAAAGGGCGCGUAGGCGGUCUUGAAAGUCAUUUGUGAAAUUUCAGAGCUUAACUCUGAAACAGCGACUGAAACUCCAAGACUAGAGGCAAGACGGAGAAAAUGGAAUUUCCCAUAGCGGUGGAAUGCGUAGAUAUGGGAAGGAACACCGGUGGCGAAGGCGAUUUUCUAGUUUUGAACUGACGCUGAGGCGCGAAAGCGGGGGUAGCGAACAGGAUUAGAUACCCUGGUAGUCCUCGCCGUAAACGAUGUAUACUUGAUGUGAUCGGGCUCAACCCCGAUCGUGUCGAAGCUAACGCGAUAAGUAUACCGCCUGAGGAGUACGCUCGCAAGGGUGAAACUCAAAAGAAUUGACGGGGGCCCGCACAAGCAGUGGAGCAUGUGGUUUAAUUCGAUCAACGCGAAGAACCUUACCCAGACUUGACAUGCAGGCAAAAGUAUCAGAAAUGAUAUGUCCUUCGGGGGCCUGCACAGGUGCUGCAUGGCUGUCGUCAGCUCGUGCCGUGAGGUGUUGGGUUAAGUCCCGCAACGAGCGCAACCCUUAUCAUUAGUUGCCAGCGAGUAAUGUCGGGAACUCUAAUGAGACUGCCUAGGUUAACUAGGAGGAAGGUGAGGAUGAUGUCAAGUCAGCAUGGCCCUUAUGUCUGGGGCUACACACGUGCUACAAUGGAUAGUACAGAGGGCAGCCAAGCCGCGAGGUGGAGCAAAUCCCAAAAAGCUAUCCUCAGUUCGGAUUGUAGUCUGCAAUUUGACUACAUGAAGCUGGAAUUGCUAGUAAUGGCGCGUCAGCAAUAGCGCCGUGAAUACGUUCUCGGGCCUUGUACACACCGCCCGACACAUCAUGGGAGUUGGUUUUACCCGAAGUCGCUGACUUAACCGCAAGGGAAGAGGCGCCUAAGGUAAGGCCG
rnacentral:rRNA from 1 species